GCCUAUAUGGCACAGUUGAUUGAGUGUAUGCCUGCUGGGCAAAAGGUUGCUGGUUCAAGUCCAGCUGGGGACC
rnacentral:tRNA from 1 species